rnacentral:rRNA from 1 species
GAUGAACGCUAGCGGCGGGCUUAAUACAUGCAAGUCGAACGGUAACAGUUCCUUCGGGAAGCUGACGAGUGGCGCACGGGUGCGUAACGCGUACACGACCUACCUCUAAGAGGGGGAUAGCCUUUGGAAACGAAGAUUAAUACCCCAUGUGGUUUAUGAGCUUCAUGGCUUAUAAAUUAAAGAGUUAUCGCUUAGAGAUGGGUGUGCGUCCCAUUAGCUAGUUGGUGAGGUAACGGCUCACCAAGGCUACGAUGGGUAGCUGUUCUGAGAGGAAGAUCAGCCACACGGGCACUGAGACACGGGCCCGACUCCUACGGGAGGCAGCAGUAAGGAAUAUUGGUCAAUGGGGGCAACCCUGAACCAGCCACGCCGCGUGCAGGAUGACUGCCCUAUGGGUUGUAAACUGCUUUUAUGUAAGAAGAACGGGUGUCAUUAAUGAUGCUAUGACGGUAUUACAUGAAUAAGCACCGGCUAACUCCG